UCCGUAGGUGAACCUGCGGAAGGAUCAUUACAUUCAGUAGUUCUCUACUGCUAGAGGGGAGCCCAAAGCCAAGAUUUUGCUAUCACUUCUUCUAAGGCGAGUAAGCUCCUCUUUUUAUACCCUUGACCUUUGUGUACUCAUGUUUCCUCGGUGGGCUUGCCUGCCGGUUGGACUACCUAAAUCACCUUUUAAUUUCAGUCAGCGUCUGAAUUAAUAUAAUAAUUACAACUUUCAACAACGGAUCUCUUGGUUCUGGCAUCGAUGAAGAACGCAGCGAAAUGCGAUAAGUAGUGUGAAUUGCAGAAUUCAGUGAAUCAUCGAAUUUUUGAACGCACAUUGCGCCCCUUGGUAUUCCAUGGGGCAUGCCUGUUCGAGCGUCAUUUGUACUCUCAAGCUCUGCUUGGUGUUGGGUGUUUGUCCUUUCGUCUCUGUCUGGACUCACCUUAAAAGAAUUGGCGGCCAAUGAUUUAGUUUUGGAGCGCAGCACAUUUUGCGCUUUAGGCCUUAGCAUUUGCGUCCAGUAAGCAAUAUAUCACUUUUGACCUCGGAUCAGGUAGGGAUACCCGCUGAACUUAAGCAUAUCAAUAAGCGGAGGAA
rnacentral:rRNA from 1 species